CUGUUAUAUUUUGAUUUGUCGUUGGGUUUGGAAAGCCAUGCAAUCGUUUACCGUAAAGUCCAUUCUUACGUUAUAUACAUACUAUUACUAUAAAGUUUGCGAUUGUAUAAGGUACACGCGUAAAAACGCUCAGGUUGAUGCAAUACUGAUGAAAACAGGAUUGAACAAUGUUUUGCUGCCCACAUUGUUCAUAGCUGUCAACAAUAUUGAACAAUGUUGAUACACCCGAUUCAGGCUCGACAAUACUGUUCAAUAUUGUUGACAAGUGUGAACAACGUGGGCAGCAAAACAUUAAAACUGCCUGUACCAGUGUGGGUAGUACCAGUGUGAAAAUGCUGUGCUGAGUGGUUAUAUUACUACCUUAAAAAA
rnacentral:lncRNA from 1 species